AGCAGCACGAUUGACCCAUGAAAAGUACAAGGUACAACGUUGUGUACGUUUAGUAUGCUAAGGAACUACACAUACCACUGUGCUCCCGACGCACGCUUAUAUCGUCACCACUCAGAUGUGCUUGCCCCCUUCUACCUGUAGUGUCACUGAGUUUGAUAUUAGUCUCGCAUAGCCAGAUCUAUCUCCACACUUUGUUUUUGCGCCAUUUCAGUUUUAAAUUUUAAAUUUUUCCAACUUUUAGAUUUUUCCAGUUUUAUAUCUGUACAUAUUUACAUUUUCUUGUUAUUUUGAUACCUACUACUACUAGCUGACUAGGUUAGUUUCUUGCUAACUUUUACUGUGUGUAUAUAAAUAUUUAGCUAGCUAGCUAACUGUUAUAGAUUUUUCGAUUUUAUAGCUACAGUUAUUAUUAGGUAGUCAUUUUAUAUUUUUAAAACUUAGCUUAGGGUAUUACCGAGCUAACGUUAGCUGGGUGUGAUGGUGCGGUGCUUUGCCUCGGGCUGCAACCACGAGUCUGAUGUGGACGCCUGUUUCUUCUUCCGAUUUCCAACGCACGAGGAGCAGAAGCGAAUUUGGACUAGACUUGUACGAUGAGCUGACAGGAGGCCCAGCAGCAGCUCAAGGCUUUGCAGCUGUCACUUUCCAAAGGGAAAGGAGAAGGGACCUCUUUGGUUUCCUUAGUAUGGUACUCCAUCAAGUGAGGCUCGUGAAGUCGGCAGUGGUUCAAGUGUUGCUCCUGAAGAGGUCAGCAAUUCCAAUGAGGCUCACAAAGUCGGCAGUGGUUCAAGUGGUUCACCUGUGUUUAGCAGUUGUCUAUGACCAUGAAAUGCACUUUUUGUACGUCGCUUUGGAUAAAAGCGUCUGCCAAGUAAAUGUAAUGUAAAGUGACGCCCCUGAAGAGGGCAGCAAUUUCAGUGAGGCUCACACAGUCGGCAGUGGUUCAAGUGAUCCCCCUUCAAAAGUAUUUUCUCCUGAAGUUCAAGCCAUCAUUGAAGAGAGUGAGGUUACUGAUGCACAAGCCAAGCUCCAGUCUGUAGAUGAGAAGAUGCAGUACUGUAGGCAACGGUAUUCUGCUUCCCAGUUGUCCAAAACGGUUAUUAGAUUAGAGACAGGAUUGGCAGACAAAAGAGCCUUACAGGCUCUUGUGGGUUCAGGGUUCGUACGGUCAUGAAAAACCUGGAAAAGUCAUUGAAAUUUAAAAUGCAAUUUCCAGGCCCUGGAAAAGUUAUGGAAAAUAAUAUUUUUUGAAAAGUUUUGGAAAAGUAAUGGAAAUAUAGCUAAAGUUGCAUCAAAUAUAAUUACUAAUUAAUCCAAUCAUAAAAAUAGUAUGUAUAGUAAUAAAACGUAAAUUGGCACGUAACCUUCGCGGUAUUUUGGUGGUGUGAGAAGUUAAUUCGGUCCGGCUCAGUCUGUUUA